rnacentral:SRP_RNA from 1 species
CCGUGCUAGAUGGGGAGCUAGCGGUGCCCUGUACCCGCAAUCCGCUACAGCGGGGUUGAAUUCCUGCUCGAGGGCUGCGGUCUCGGGGACUGCCCUUGUCAGACGGUGUUGACGAUCUGGUCCUGCGCGGCGAGGCGCCAUGAACCUGGUCAGGUCCGGAAGGAAGCAGCCAUAAGUGGAAUUGCUUCGGGUGCCGCAGGUCAACCGGGUCUGAGUCGCCUGGCGCAGGGCAAGCUCGUGGCACAGUUCGACAGCAGGUGCACGG